rfam:Gemmatimonadetes bacterium GWC2_71_9 gwc2_scaffold_38070, whole genome shotgun sequence.
GGGGGCGGAUCGGGCCUGGUGGUCUGAGCAGUCUUCAAAACUGUAUGGGGCCCGCUCUGCGGGCCCUGGUGGGUUCGAUUCCCACACGCUCCC